rnacentral:rRNA from 1 species
GACAGAGGUGCCAAGCGUUAGGCGGAAUCACUGGGCUUAAAGCGUGUGUAGGCGGAAUUGUAAGUACCUUGUGAAAUCCCACGGCUCAACCGUGGAACUGCUUGGUAUACUGCUUUUCUUGAGCCACUUAGGGGCUACCGGAACAAAUGGUGGAGCGGUGAAAUGCGUAGAUAUCAUUUGGAACGCCAAUGGUGAAAACAGGUAGCUGGGAGUGUGCUGACGCUGAGACACGAAGGUCAGGGGAGCAAACGGG